UCGUACUUUCGCUUAGUGCACUAUAAAAGGUGAGAAGAUGACGAUGAGGACGUAAAAGCUGCUUCUUCCCGAAAGAGGUUCUUCUAUUUGUGGCUGAUAGUUCAGAUUCAGGCUGUUGUUUUCAGGCCUAACUCACCCCAAAAGCUAGCUCAAGAGGAGGAGUGCCUGUAGUCCAUAUAAGGGGCACAUUACCCCUUUCCAGAACCGAUGUAGGAAUCAACACACCCCUCACGCUUAGAAUUUUUACUGGUGCGUGGCACAUUUAUAGGGCGCCCAACAUCGGAUGGGAAGGCUCUGAUAUCAUGUUAAAUUUGGGCCAAGCCUAUAUCACCCUAAAAGUUCACCCUAAAAGUUAGCUCAAGAGGGAGGAGUGUCUAUAGCCCAUAUAAGGGGCAUAUUACCCUUUCCACAACCGAUGUGGGAGCGUGACACAUUUAUGGGGUGUCUAGCAUCGGAUGGGGAGGCUUUGAUACCAUGUUAAAUUUGGGUCAGGCCUAACUCACCCCAAAAGGUAGCUCAAGAGGGAGGAGUGUCUAUAGUCCAUAUAAGGGGCACAUUACCCCUUUCCACAACCGAUGUAGGAUUCAUCAUUAUGUAUCGUUGAGAUUUUGAUGUUAUUAUUUUUUCUUUUAUUCCAAUGUGUAGCAAGAGUUUUAGCCUCUAUAUUUCUUUUAUUGUUCUGACCUUCAAAAAUGACAAUCCCAACAAGCGUAGGUUUCCUAUGUGCAAAGAACAUCUCAGUGAUUUGAGAAUGUUGUCACUUCAAAGCUUCUCCUAUGUAUUUCUUAUUUUUGCCAAAUAUUAGUUGGAAUUCUGAUGAUUCAAGUGAUUUGAGAAUGUGGAAAUUCUGGGAGUAUCC